rnacentral:rRNA from 1 species
GCCGCGAGGCAGAGCAAAACCCUAAAAAUCGUCUCAGUUCAGAUUGCAGGCUGCAACUCGCCUGCAUGAAGUCGGAAUUGCUAGUAAUCGCAGAUCAGCAUGCUGCGGUGAAUACGUUCCCGGGCCUUGUACACACCGCCCGUCACACCAUGGGAGUCGGUAACACCCGAAGUCGGUAGCCUAACCGUAAGGAGGGCGCCGCCGAAGGUGGGAUUGAUGACUGGGGUGAAGUCGUAACAAGGUAUC